UACGAAGGGGGCUAGCGUUGCUCGGAAUCGCUGGGCGUAAAGGGUGCGUAGGCGGGUCUUUAAGUCAGGGGUGAAAUCCUGGAGCUCAACUCCAGAACUGCCUUUGAUACUGAGGAUCUUGAGCACGGGAGAGGUGAGUGGAACUGCGAGUGUAGAGGUGAAAUUCGUAGAUAUUCGCAAGAACACCAGUGGCGAAGGCGGCUCACUGGCCCGAUACUGACGCUGAGGCACGAAAGCGUGGGGAGCAAACAGG
rnacentral:rRNA from 1 species